UGGAUCACCUCCUAACAGGGAGACAAAACCCGAUGUUGAUGUCUGGAUGAAUUUAGAUUCCAGGCCAAUGUCCUGUCACCUUAGGUCGAUCGGUACCUCGAGGUGAGGUUAUCAGAGAGCUGAGAGAUCAGCAGAUCUGAGGGCCUUACUUUCAGUUUCUAGACGUUGUCUAGGUCACCCCCUAGGGGUAAUCAAUGCGGGGAAGCAAGACCUGGUUGCAAGAGAUCAGGAUUUGAUUGUCGGCGUUGAUUGUCCACAAGAGGUCAGAGCUCCUGGGCCAUUAGCUCAGGUGGUCAGAGCGCACCCCUGAUAAGGGUGAGGUCCCUGGUUCAAGUCCAGGAUGGCCCAUUCGAGAUUGGGGGUUUAGCUCAGUUGGUAGAGCGCCCGCUUUGCAAGCAGGAUGUCAGCGGUUCGAGUCCGCUAACCUCCAUACCAACGCUGACCGCAAUCCGAAGGGGAUCCGCAAGCCCAGAGCCACGAGAGGGGAAUCAAUCCCGGAUCAAGGCUUGAUCAAGGCUGGAUCAACAGGAGAGCCGAGGGGUGAUGAGGACAGAUUGGGAAGGAGAGGACUGGGAUGGAUUCCAGCCUUCAGGAUCAGCGGCCGUGAUGGUGCUGAUGUUGAAUGCUGGAUUCACAGCUUGACUGGCACGACCAGUGAGUUGCUGAAGACCAGCGGAACCUUGACAACUGCAUAGGUAAGUCUGGAAAUAAGCAUCUCAUGGAUGCCAGAUCCAGUUAGGGCUGAACGCUGGACGUUGACGUGUGGAGAGGCAAGCGAUUGCUGAUUGACGCGUUGAGGUCUGCUGUGAGGUUGUGGCUGGAUGUGGAGAUUCUAUUGAGUUUAGAGCCAAGACAUCUGAGCGAGCACUGCUAGCAGAGAUAGGGACUGGUGAUUGUCGCUAAAGAGGAAACUCAAUGGCUGCAAUUCCGGUUGUCAUGAAAACUGGCAACCAAGGUCUUGCGUCAAAGCCAGGAGUGUGAAGCGAGGGUGAGUUUGGUCAAGCUACAAAGGGCUCACGGUGGAUACCUUGGCACACAGAGGCGAUGAAGG
rnacentral:tRNA from 1 species